rnacentral:rRNA from 1 species
AUUGAACGCUGGCGGCAUGCUUUACACGUGCAAGUCGGACGGCAGCACAGAGAAGCUUGCUUCUUGGGUGGCGAGUGGCGAACGGGUGAGUAACAUAUCGGAACGUACCGAGCAGUGGGGGAUAACUAAUCGAAAGAUUAGCUAAUACCGCAUAUCUUCUGAGGAAGAAAGCAGGGGACCAUUUGGCCUUGCGCUGUUUGAGCGGCCGAUAUCUGAUUAGCUAGUUGGUGGGGUAAAGGCCUACCAAGGCGACGAUCAGUAGCGGGUCUGAGAGGAUGAUCCGCCACACUGGGACUGAGACACGGCCCAGACUCCUACGGGAGGCAGCAGUGGGGAAUUUUGGACAAUGGGCGCAAGCCUGAUCCAGCCAUGCCGCGUGUCUGAAGAAGGCCUUCGGGUUGUAAAGGACUUUUGUCAGGGAAGAAAAGGGCGGGGUUAAUACCCCUGUCUGAUGACGGUACCUGAAGAAUAAGCACCGGCUAA